rnacentral:rRNA from 1 species
UUGGAGGGCAAGUCUGGUGCCAGCAGCCGCGGUAAUUCCAGCUCCAAUAGCGUAUAUUAAAGUUGUUGCAGUUAAAAAGCUCGUAGUUGAAUUUCGGGAUCAAUAUUUCGGUCAUGCCGUUGGUAUGCACUGUUAUCAUUGAUUUCUCACCUUCUAAAGAACCGUAAUGCCAUUAAUUUGGUGUUACGGGGAAUUAGGACCGUUACCUUGAAAAAAUUAGAGUGUUUAAAGCAGGCUCACGCUUGAAUACAUUAGCAUGGAAUAAUGGAAUAGGACAUCCGAUUCUAUUUUGUUGGUUUCUAGGAUCGAUGUAAUGAUUAAUAGGGAUAGUUGGGGGCAUUAGUAUUCAAUUGUCAGAGGUGAAAUUCUUGGAUUUAUUGAAGACUAACUACUGCGAAAGCAUUUGCCAAGGAUGUUUUCAUUAAUCAAGAACGAAAGUUAGGGGAUCGAAGACGAUCAGAUACCGUCGUAGUCUUAACCAUAAACUAUGCCGACUAGGGAUCGGGUGAUGUUAAUUUUUUAAUGACUCAUUCGGCGCCUUACGGGAAAC